rnacentral:lncRNA from 1 species
GAUAAUUAACCAAGUGCUGAAAUAAUAUGAGCUAAAAGCUUAGACGCAUGAAUCAACCCUUUUUUCAGCUCCAUCACCAUCAAUUUGAUCGUCUACCAUCUCCGAUCGGUAUCAUCUGCCGUCACAUCUCGGUCGCUAGCCACCGCAGCCUCGGCCGUGACAGAGCAGAGCAUCUGACGCGCAUUACCACCGCCAAUCGAACUUCUCUCUCAUGCUCUUUCUCUCUCUCAUCUUAAGGCACUGGAGACUCCUUCUAAGCGGAUGAUUUCCCGCUCCGCAGGAGAAUUCAUUCACAAAGACAACCGCAACACACUCUCUGAAGCUCGGUGCGCACGCGGGAGUUGAGGAAUCGAGCAAAGCAAGAACACAACGCACAGACUGAGAUGGCGAUUCCUCUCUAGCAAUUUUGGCUUGGGUUUCUCAUGUUAUAUUCCUUGCCAAUUGAUAGAAAAUUCCCUUUGUGUGACAUCUCACCCUUAAUGCACACCACCUAUUUGACGUUUUACCUCGGAGAUGAC